rnacentral:rRNA from 1 species
GACGAACGCUGGCGGCGUGCUUAACACAUGCAAGUCGAACGGAAAGGCCCUGCUUUUGUGGGGUGCUCGAGUGGCGAACGGGUGAGUAACACGUGAGUAACCUGCCCUUGACUUUGGGAUAACUUCAGGAAACUGGGGCUAAUACCGGAUAGGAGCUCCUGCUGCAUGGUGGGGGUUGGAAAGUUUCGGCGGUUGGGGAUGGACUCGCGGCUUAUCAGCUUGUUGGUGGGGUAGUGGCUUACCAAGGCUUUGACGGGCAGCCGGCCUGAGAGGGUGACCGGCCACAUUGGGACUGAGAUACGGCCCAGACUCCUACGGGAGGCAGCAGUGGGGAAUAUUGCACAAUGGGCGGAAGCCUGAUGCAGCAACGCCGCGUGCGGGAUGACGGCCUUCGGGUGGUAAACCGCUUUCGCCUGUGACGAAGCGUGAGUGACGGUAAUGGGUAAAGAAGCACCGGCUAACUACGU